UAUUCAUUUUUGUCUCCUCGUUUUCACACUAAUCCAGAUUCACUACUGUUCAUUAACAGGUUCACUACUGUUUACUACAUAUCUCCUCUAUGAAGGUACUUUUUGAUCUCUGUCUCUCUCUCUUCAUACGUACUUGACGUUUGUAUCUCCAUUUCUAUCGGACUCCAACAUCAACUUUGGGGACAAGGACGAAGGGGAUCUGGAUUUCAUCGAACUUCAACAUACAGCUUGGGUAUUAGGACGAAGGAGACGACGACGAUGAAGAAGAAGGAUCCGUUGCGGUGGUCGGCAAGGUGGAGAAGGACCUGAAGCUCGACAUCAGCGAUCGUAAGGCCAAGUAAAUCUACAUAAGUACCAUUCUUCACCCUUUUGACUACAAUCUUUACAGAAGGUGAGGCUCAGGGCACCUCAGCAACAGUGCCGACAGCAAAGAAAGAAAAGAAUAAAAGAGAGAGCAACCAUAGCCAAUAGACAUUACUUGGCUGUACGCUCUAUUCUUGUUGCCUUUACCAUCAAUUUUUUUUUCUCAUUUUGAUUAUAUCUAAUAAAUGUAUAGCCAUAUAAGAAAUUGAUCUGCAGUUUCUUUUAACGUAAUGGAUUGAUGGCUCGUGGGAUUUCCUAGGUACACUAAAAAACGAAGACAAGGGAUUACUUUUACACAAAUUGAUGGUAAAGUUGUACAAAAAUUGGACAUUCAUAAUAACAUAAAGUAUGUAUAUUUCAUAUAUUUCUCUUUUGGUCAGAGAGGCAAACUAUGACUCUAUAGGAGGAGGCCGUAGUGGACGAAGAUAUGAUCAUGGUCGUCGUCGUGGGUACAACAAAGACCCAACCAACAACGAGAAUUUGCAUGGAAAUAUGGAAAUUUUUGGUGGUCAAGGAGCAUUUGGAUAAGUAGUGUAUAGUCUAGUCUUUUGUAGGGAUAAAUUUGAUUAACACAGAACCAAAAUGUCUUCAUGAACAUGUCCCUAAGCUGUAAUUCGGGUAGUGUAUUUUGUGUAAUUCAGUCCGAUCGAACUGUCGAGAAUUACAGAUUUCUAUCUGUCGGGAACGACAAAUUAACCAUUGGGCUGUAGAUCUAUAUUUUACACCAUGUUCAGCGGAUGUUAUGAAAUUGUGUUUAUCAUGAGCUGAAUUGACUCCA